rnacentral:rRNA from 1 species
GGCGAGUGAAGCGGCAAUAGCUCAAAUUUGAAAGCUGGCCCCUUUGGGGUCCGCGUUGUAAUUUGUAGAGGAUGAUUCGGCGAGGGCUCCCGUCUAAGUCCCCUGGAACGGGGCGUCAUAGAGGGUGAGAAUCCCGUAUGUGAUGGGUUGCCUUAGCCAUGUGAAUCUCCUUCGACGAGUCGAGUUGUUUGGGAAUGCAGCUCUAAAUGGGAGGUAAAUUUCUUCUAAAGCUAAAUACCGGCCAGAGACCGAUAGCGCACAAGUAGAGUGAUCGAAAGAUGAAAAGCACUUUGGAAAGAGAGUUAAAAAGUACGUGAAAUUGUUGAAAGGGAAGCGCUUGCAGCCAGACUUGUCCGCAGUUGCUCAGCCGGUCUCCUGACCGGCGUACUCUUCUGCGGCCAGGCCAGCAUCAGUUCGGGCGGUCGGAUAAAGACCCCAGGAAUGUAGCUCCUCUCGGGGAGUGUUAUAGCCUGGGGUGGAAUGCGGCCAGCCUGGACUGAGGAUCUCGCUUCGGCUAGGAUGCUGGCGUAAUGGCUGUAAGCGGCCCGUCUUGAAACACGGACCAAGGAGUCUAACAUCUAUGCGAGUGUUUGGGUGU